AGCUGAGCUGGCGAGGGUCCGCAGGCUUGCUCGGGAGCUCGGGCCCGCUCCUCCCCACCGGGGCAGCCACUGCCAGAAGGGACCGGACCGGAGACCUUCCUCCUCAGGCUGGAGGAAUCCCCAGCCAGCCUGCGCAGCCAUCAAGCUGCAACAAGAGGGAUUCACGGUAGACUUCGGAAGAAGGAGGGAGUUCCAAGCAGGAAAGAGGUUACAAGCAGCCGGUCAGCCACAAGAGAAAUGAGAACAAGACACAGUGAGUCUAAUACACACCCCAGGACCAAACCAUUUGCAACCGAAAGCUCCAUGCCGCUUCUUUCUCCACCAAAAGCCAGAUGGAUCCGUUCCAGCUCAGCAUUCCCGUCAGGAGACAAGCACAAGAUCCCGAGGCAAAGUUCCCAGGUGCAUCCGGAUUCAUUUCCCAGAAAUGAAAUUCAGUGUGUGUCCAGAACAUCCAUCUCUUUGUGAUGCGAACAUCUGGACUGCCUAUCCACGGAGUACCUGGCUCCAGAAAGGACCACUCCAGUCAAAAUUUUGUCCUCCUUCCUCAACUUCUCUGAGGCUCUGAUGCUUAAAAAAACUUGGGACCAAAACAUCAGUGAA